GUCUGUGACCAUAUCAUCCUGGAUGUGCCUGAUCUUGUCUGAUCUCAGAAGCUAACCAGGUUGAUCCUGGUUAGGAUUUGAAUGGGGGAAAAGCAGCAAAGAAAAAAGUGGCAUGGCUC
rnacentral:rRNA from 1 species